UGGGGAAUAUUGGACAAUGGGCGAAAGCCUGAUCCAGCCAUGCCGCGUGUGUGAAGAAGGUCUUCGGAUUGUAAAGCACUUUAAGUUGGGAGGAAGGGCAUUAACCUAAUACGUUAGUGUUUUGACGUUACCGACAGAAUAAGCACCGGCUAACUCUGUGCCAGCAGCCGCGGUAAUACAGAGGGUGCAAGCGUUAAUCGGAAUUACUGGGCGUAAAGCGCGCGUAGGUGGUUUGUUAAGUUGGAUGUGAAAGCCCCGGGCUCAACCUGGGAACUGCAUCCAAAACUGGCAAGCUAGAGUACGGUAGAGGGUGGUGGAGUUUCCUGUGUAGCGGUGAAAUGCGUAGAUAUAGGAAGGAACACCAGUGGCGAAGGCGACCACCUGGACUGAUACUGACACUGAGGUGCGAAAGCGUGGGGAGCAAACA
rnacentral:rRNA from 1 species